rnacentral:tmRNA from 1 species
GGGGGCGACAGGCUUCGACGUGGUCGAUUCGUGCGAAAGGUUGCAGGUCGAGGUUGUCGGAGGCCUCGUUAAACCCCGACACAAACCAAUACGUGCGGACCAUGAGUUCGCCCUCGCCGCUUAGUUAGAAGCUAAGCGCUGUGAGAGUCGGUCCUCCCUCGCCCACGGGGAGGGGCGCCGGCUUCAGAAAGUGGGCUCACCCAAGCGGAUCGCCCCGUCCGCCAGGGGAAAUUUCAGAGGGCUUUGUCUCCCGUAGUGCCCGCCGGCGCGGACCCCGGGAGACGAGAAUCAAGCGCCGGCUAUACCUGUAGACACCUUCGCGCCGCGUCCGCGGAUCCGAGUUCGAAUCUCGGCGCCUCCAUCG